rnacentral:rRNA from 1 species
GACGAACGCUGGCGGCGUGCUUAACACAUGCAAGUCGAACGGAAAGGCCCUGCUUGCAGGGUACUCGAGUGGCGAGCGGGUGAGUAACACGUGGGUGAUCUGCCCCGCACUUCGGGAUAAGCCUGGGAAACUGGGUCUAAUACCGGAUAGGAGCCAUUUUUAGUGUGAUGGUUGGAAAGUUUUUUCGGUGUAGGAUGAGCUCGCGGCCUAUCAGCUUGUUGGUGGGGUAAUGGCCUACCAAGGCGGCGACGGGUAGCCGGCCUGAGAGGGUGGACGGCCACAUUGGGACUGAGAUACGGCCCAGACUCCUACGGGAGGCAGCAGUGGGGAAUAUUGCACAAUGGGCGCAAGCCUGAUGCAGCGACGCCGCGUGGGGGAUGACGGCCUUCGGGUUGUAAACUCCUUUCGCUAGGGACGAAGCUUUUUGUGACGGUACCUAGAUAAGAAGCACCGGCUAACUACGUG